rnacentral:rRNA from 1 species
UACGUAGGGCGCGAGCGUUGUCCGGAAUUAUUGGGCGUAAAGAGCUCGUAGGCGGCCUGUUGCGUCCGCUGUGAAAUCCCGGGGCUCAACCCCGGGCUUGCAGUGGAUACGGGCUGGCUAGAGGCAGGCAGGGGAGAACGGAAUUCCCGGUGUAGCGGUGAAAUGCGCAGAUAUCGGGAGGAACACCGGUGGCGAAGGCGGUUCUCUGGGCCUGUACUGACGCUGAGGCGCGAAAGCUAGGGGAGCAAACAGG